rnacentral:rRNA from 1 species
UACGUAGGGUGCAAGCGUUAAUCGGAAUUACUGGGCGUAAAGCGUGCGCAGGCGGUUAUGUAAGACAGGUGUGAAAUCCCCGGGCUUAACCUGGGAACUGCAUUUGUGACUGCAUAGCUAGAGUACGGUAGAGGGGGAUGGAAUUCCGCGUGUAGCAGUGAAAUGCGUAGAUAUGCGGAGGAACACCGAUGGCGAAGGCAGCCCCCUGGGUCAAAACUGACGCUCAUGCACGAAAGCGUGGGGAGCAAACAGG